AGGUUCGUAUACAUUUCUAUCAUGUAGUUUUGGUCGAUGGAUGCCUUAAUUUAGCAAACUGUUGGACUGACGAUCUGUUUUCUAUGACAUUGUGGACAACUAUGGAUGGGUGAUCUGGCAUAAUAGUCUGCUUCAUUGUGUAGUGCAUAAAACUAGCAUUGAGUUUGUUCACCAAGUGUAAUCUCCUUUAUUGGCAGGUGGAUGCUCCUGCAGAGAAGAAAAACGAACCGGAGCCAUCAUUUGAGAUCUUAACCAACCCUGCUAGAGUAGUUCCAGCUCAAGAGAAAUUCAUUAAAUUUUUGGAAGAUAGCAGAUACGUACCAGUUAAAUCAUCACCUUCCGGAUUUGUGCUUCUGAGGGAUCUACGUCCUGAUGAACCUGAAGUAUUGUCCCUCACCGAUGCACCCUCAUCAACUGCAUCCAGCACUGGCGGUGGAUCAACUGGACAACAAGCCCCGG
rnacentral:lncRNA from 1 species